UAGAGUCUCUGAACUCCCAAACCUUUGUGAACAUACCACUGUUGCUUCGGCGGGAUCGUCCCGGGCGCGCCUCUGGGCGUGUCCCGGAUCCAAGGCGCCCGCCGAGGGUAUCAAACUCUUGUCUUUAUAGCGGACUUCUGAGUAUAAAACAAAAAUAAAUUA
rnacentral:misc_RNA from 1 species